ACCGAUGGGCAGUUUGUCACACAGCUGACUUCAUCUGCUUUUACACUCCUACUGUCAUCAGACUUUAAAGGAUCCUUAGAAAUUCUGACUUCAGCUCAACACACUGACCCCACAGGUUUUUACCAUGUGAAAGAGUGGAAGGAAACAAGAGCAACAAUUACCUCCUGCGGGGCUUUGAAAAUGCGACUCUGUUUGCUGAGCAACCGGGAGUGGGCCGACUCCAUCAAUCUGAGCCAAUGAAGAAAGGGAGUCUGAAUACAUACAUGCACCCUGAAUCAGACGGCGCGCAGCUGCAGUGGAUCAAAAAAUGCACCAGAGGUCGGAGUGACUUGGGGGGCGCGGCGGUCGGAGGUUCAGUGCACCUCGACGGAAGCGGCGGUGCGGCUCCGGAGCAUGAUGAGCGCGCUGUUUUGACACUCAUCUGGACCUCCUUGUUAACUCCCCCACAACAGAUGUGAUGCGCUCAGACAGGCCUGUGCGGCGCGCGAGCGGGGGCCCGGUCGGGCUCAGGCUGCAGAGCGGCGUACUUGAAGGAUUUAACAUGAAUAUGCUCUCUUGUAUUUCCCCAAUAUGGCCAAACAAGAGAAUUAAUGGCAUAUUAGAAAGGGGAUGUUAGAGGAGAAAGCACAGGGUAGCGGAGAAGGUCUACCUAAACGCUGAGAAAUCCAAACUCGACUGACUCGAACG